AGACCCGAAACCCGGUGAUCUAGCCAUGGGCAGGUUGAAGGUUGGGUAACACUAACUGGAGGACCGAACCGACUAAUGUUGAAAAAUUAGCGGAUGACCUGUGGCUGGGGGUGAAAGGCCAAUCAAACCGGGAGAUAGCUGGUUCUCCCCGAAAGCUAUUUAGGUAGCGCCUCGUGAAUUCAUCUCCGGGGGUAGAGCACUGUUUCGGCUAGGGGGCCAUCCCGGCUUACCAACCCGAUGCAAACUGCGAAUACCGGAGAAUGUUAUCACGGGAGACACACGGCGGGUGCUAACGUCCGUCGUGAAGAGGGAAACAACCCAGACCGCCAGCUAAGGUCCCAAAGUCAUGGUUAAGUGGGAAACGAUGUGGGAAGGCCCAGACAGCCAGGAUGUUGGCUUAGAAGCAGCCAUCAUUUAAAGAAAGCGUAAUAGCUCACUGGUCGAGUCGGCCUGCGCGGAAGAUGUAACGGGGCUAAACCAUGCACCGAAGCUGCGGCAGCGAACGUAUCACUUAAAGCGAUUCAGCGGGUUACGAUUGACGGAGCGAAGCGACGUCAAAGCGUAUACAAAGUCGAGUCGGUUUAAGGAUACGUUCGUUGGGUAGGGGAGCGUUCUGUAAGCCUGUGAAGGUGUGUCGUGAGGCAUGCUGGAGGUAUCAGAAGUGCGAAUGCUGACAUAAGUAACGAUAAAGCGGGUGAAAAGCCCGCUCGCCGGAAGACCAAGGGUUCCUGUCCAACGUUAAUCGGGGCAGGGUGAGUCGACCCCUAAGGCGAGGCCGAAAGGCGUAGUCGAUGGGAAACGGGUUAAUAUUCCCGUACUUGGUGUUACUGCGAAGGGGGGACGGAGAAGGCUAUGUUGGCCGGGCGACGGUUGUCCCGGUUUAAGCGUGUAGGUGUGUGUUCCAGGUAAAUCCGGUUCACUUUAACACUGAGGCGUGAUGACGAGGCACUACGGUGCUGAAGCAACAAAUGCCCUGCUUCCAGGAAAAGCCUCUAAGCAUCAGGUAACAUCAAAUCGUACCCCAAACCGACACAGGUGGUCAGGUAGAGAAUACCAAGGCGCUUGAGAGAACUCGGGUGAAGGAACUAGGCAAAAUGGUGCCGUAACUUCGGGAGAAGGCACGCUGACAUGUAGGUGAAGUGAUUUACUCAUGGAGCUGAAGUCAGUCGAAGAUACCAGCUGGCUGCAACUGUUUAUUAAAAACACAGCACUGUGCAAACACGAAAGUGGACGUAUACGGU
rnacentral:rRNA from 1 species